UACAGAGGGUGCAAGCGUUGUUCGGAAUUAUUGGGCGUAAAGGGCGCGUAGGCGGUGCGGUAAGUCUGUAGUGAAAUCUCUGGGCUCAACUCAGAGUCUGCUAUAGAAACUGCCGUGCUUGAGUGUGGGAGAGGUGAGUGGAAUUCCCGGUGUAGCGGUGAAAUGCGUAGAUAUCGUCUGGAACGCCAAAGGUGAAAACAGCUCGCUGGGGUUGUGCUGACGCUGAGACACGAAAGCCAGGGGAGCGAACGGG
rnacentral:rRNA from 1 species